UAACAUGAGAGUUUGAUCCUGGCUCAGGAUGAACGCUGGCGGCGUGCUUAACACAUGCAAGUCGAACGAAGCAAUUUCUUACGAUCCCUUCG
rnacentral:ncRNA from 1 species